UACGUAGGUGGCAAGCGUUAUCCGGAAUUACUGGGCGUAAAGCGCACGCAGGCGGUCUUUUAAGUUUGACGUGAAAGCUCCCGGCUUAACUGGGAGAGGUCGUUGAAGACUGGAAGACUUGAGGCAAUGAGAGGGGUGUAGAAUUCCCGGUGUAGUGGUGGAAUGCGUAGAUAUCGGGGGGAAUACCAGUGGCGAAGGCAGCUCGCUGGGACGGUACUGACGCUGAGGCGCGAAAGCGUGGGGAGCAAACAGG
rnacentral:rRNA from 1 species